GGAGGAGUCGCAUAGUGGCCUAGUGCGCUCGUUUGCUAAAUGAGUGAGGAAUCCCCUCCGUGAGUUCGAAUCUCACCUCCUCCG
rnacentral:tRNA from 1 species